AUUAUCAUGUUAUUUAUGCUAUUGUAUUUUUAUUAUUACUUGAAUAAUAAAAAUACAAUAGUAUAAAUAGCUUUUCUGCCCAGAAAAGCAAUUUACUAUUAAACAAUAUGGUAUACAUUUAGAAAUAAAAAGUUCAGUGGAAUGUGAAGAAUAAGUAAUAAAUGUUUGCCAUUAAUAUCUGGUAGAAGAGAUAGGAAAAUGGUUAUAGUAAAGAUCUGUGUAAAGAACGCAAAAAAAUGCAUUUUGAGCCUGUGUCAAACACCCACUAUGGCCACACCUACCAUGACCACGCCCAACCCUGGCCACACACACGCCGGCCCUCCAAGGUCAAACACAACCCUGAUGUGGCCCUCAAUGAAAUCGAGUUUGACACCCUUGAGCUAGAGUAAUUAUAUAAUGAGAUUUCUCUUUCCCAAAAGUACACAUGUAACACACUUACAUGUGUAGCUUUAGAGUAAAAAAUACAUACAGCUAUGUAUAUACAUACGUAUGUGUUAUGUAUGUGUUAGAACCCACAUUUCAAAAAAGGCAAAGUUGGUAUGUGAGAGAGAAGAAAACAGGAAGAAUAUUAAACACCAAUUCAAACAAUGCAGAAGUCAAUUUUCUGAAUGCACCCACUUUUUAAAAAAACUCUCAAUCCCCCAACUGCACAUACCUGCAUUCCCAUCAGACAAGCUACUCUCAAAUGCAGAAGUAUGCUAAUACAUGUGUGCCCAUACACACAUAGGCACACCCUCCCGUCUCUUUCUAGUAAACUGCAGGAAGUAAGAAAAAAAAAUAUGGAGAUACAUUGAGGGGCACCUGCUCUGGGAAAACAAGAGAAAGAGGGCACAAAACUGGAAUGGAGAUAAAGUGAAGGAAGAAAGAAGAGGGAUGUUAGAAAUUAUAAAAAAGAUUAUGAAAGAAAGGCUUAGCAAGCUAUGGUUAUUCUCCAGGUUCAUCCAUAGUUUGUAGCAGUUGUAUCCAAAGUUAUUUGCUCCAACCUGUUUAUUUCUUUUCAAAAUGCCUUCUAUUCUUAUCUGGGAGUAAGUAAGAAGACAGCUUCACCCCCCCCACCCCCCAAAUUCAUCAGUAAUUAUUGGGGAAAGAAAAUUGUCAUUCUUAGUAUCCUACAAACACCCAAACAAUCUAACAUGCUUCUUUUCUGUUGGGAGUUUGAGCUGAUAGAACAAGCUGUUUUAAUUAAAUAUUCCAAAAGCUAGAAAAUUCCCUGCACUUUUCGUAAGCACUAGGCAUUUUAUUUUGUUUUGGUUUUUUUAAAAUAACAUUCCAUUUAGUUAUAUAACCUUUUAGUUGUGACAUUUAAAAAGUAAUAUAUUAGAAACAGAACUGUCCUACACAUUUUAUCCUUGAUUUCUUUUGUCAGAGAAAUCUUUGUUCAGGUUGUACUUCAACAUUGCUUUUGUUCUUGGGUUGUCUGUUGUAUUAUUCAAAGGUCUUCCAAGAAAAUAUAUUCUUCAUAAUUCAGUGAUUCUUCAUAACUCUGAUUGCCUAAUUAGGCCAUUAGGAACUGCACCAUCAAAGCCAUUCUUCUGUCUUUGCAUCUCAUAGUUGUGUGUUUUGCAGAGAAAUUGUAUAUUUUGAUACUUGGUACAUCCUGUUGUUACUUUAUAAAAAUUUAAUUCUAUGGGACACAUUGAAGUGAGCCAGGAAAAAGUUUGGUUAGAAACUAAUGAGUUACAUAUUAAUUAAACCUUCAAUUCAUCAUGAAUACAUAAUAUAGCUCGGAACAGGUGUGUAAUAUUCUGGUGGCCAGGAGUCAUAAUUGACCAUAAAUUGGAGAUAGAGGCAGGAAGAACCUAUUUAAAAGAAGUAAAUGAUAUCAGGAGAAAGACUAAAUUUGAUUAUUAUAAUUUCAUAUAUUUAUUAUAAUAUAACUUUUUAAUUAAAUUUGGUAUGAUUCCAUCCCAUGUAUUACUUCCUUCCAGGCAUUUUUAAAUUUGCAAUUUUAAUUUCAAGCUUUAGAGAAGUUGAGUGAGCUGUACCCAGAACUUAUUAUCCAUGGAAUCCAGGUCUGAAGGCUGAGCCACUUUGUUCUGAUGUAACCAAGUUUCUUUAUUGCUUCAAUAAGGCCUUUCCAGCUUGAUGUUUUUCUAGUACAGGUGUCUCCAAACUUUUAAGACUUGUGGACUUCAACUCCCAGAAUUCUUCAGCCAGCUGCCAAGUUUGGAGAUCCCUUUUCUAGUAUAUUGAAAUUGUUUCUUAUCAGCAUGCUUUAGAAAUACCUAGUUAAUCCAAAAUAUAAUUUCCACUAACCUACCUUUUGAAUAAUUUUUGAGUUCUGUAUUUAAUCUAGCCUUACUUGCCUAAUUUAGUCAAUAAAUUUAUUUUUGGGUAUCUAAUAUGGCUCUUGUCAGCCUGAUGCCCUUCCAAUAUGUUAUAAUUGCUGGCUAAAAAUUUUGGUGACUCCUAAUGUAGAGGAUGCCAAGUUGGUGAGGCUACUUUAACGUUGGACUCCCUUUGGCUGGCUCCAGUGCCAAUGAGGCAGUGACAAUGAUACAACCUUUAUUGUAUCAUCAGAACUGAAGAUAGUUGCUGUCUAGCCUUUAAGGCUGCUGCACCCAUUUUACAUCCUCCUGGAUUUAAUUUCAGUGUCUUUCCCUCUGCAUCUUUUGCCCUGUGCUAGGUGGCAAAUGUUACUUAUGGACCUUUUCAGCAUUCCUGUCCUAGGAAGCUCUGCCUCAAUGGAUGUCCUGCAUCUAAAGCUGUUAUCUGUGUGGUUUUAAUCUAAGUGUUCCCAGUGCCACCUUUAAGCCUUACAAUAUUGCUGCUGUCCCUGCCAUAAAUUUGUAUGAAACAUGAUGAUGAUCAGAGAGAAGCUAGAUUUUCUUUAGCAGAUACAAAGUAGGUAAUUACCUUUGGAUUUUACAUAGCUCCCUAGAUUCCUUUCAAUGAUCAAUAAAAUACAGAUUAAGAUUUAUUACUGUUCCUUAGAUAAAAGCAUGUAAUCAACAAAUCCGAGUUGGAAGAAUUGUAGAAUUCAAAUGUUAGACUUUUAGUCAUAUAACAGAAUUAGAAAUGACUAGGUAUAAUUCCAUCUGUUAAUGAUCUAGCCAGUAAUGCUGGGCAUAUAUAAUACAGAACAUCAAUAGCUUCAUAGCUGUUUUUGCCUAACUUUAAGCCAUAGGAUCGGUUCGAAUCCCUAAGUGCCGCGUAACGGCGUGAGCUCCCGGUACUUGUCCCAGCUUCUGCCAACCUAGCAGUUCCAAACCACGUAAAAAAUGCAAGUAGAAAAAUAGGGACCACUUUGGUGGGAAGGUAACAGCAUUCCUUGCAACUUCAGCGUUUAGUCAUACCGGCCACAUAACCACGGAGAUGUCUUCGGACAGCGCUGGCUCUUCGGCUUAGAAACAGAGAUGAGCACCCAUACCCUAAAGCCGGAAACAACUAGCAUGCAUGUGCAGGGGAACCUUUACUUUUACCUUAAGCCAGUGGUGGGAUUCAAGUAAUCUAACAACUGGUUCUCUGCCCUAAUAAUUUCUUCCAACAACCAGUUUGCCAAACUGCUCAAAAAGUUAACAACCGGUUCUCCUGAAGUGGUGCAAACUGGCUGAAUCCCACCACUGCCUUAAGCCAUAGGAUGUUAAGUCACCAAUGCAUUAUGGGUAUUCUAUAUGUAGCCAUCAGGCUUCAGCAUAGCUAUUUGGGUUUUUUGUUUUUCUGGACAAGCUAAUUGCUACAGAGUUUACUGGGUGAAAUAAAGUAGCAUCAACUUCAGAAUAUAAGUAGAGCUACAUAAAUUCUCCUAACUCUAUUUCAGCUAUCUAAAUUCUGUUUCCCCGUAAAUAACAUAGUGGAUUCUCCAAGCAUGUGUCAUUACGGGACUGCCUUCUGCCACCGAGAGCCUCCCACCGGCCAGUACGCUCCCACAGAGAGGGGCUCCUCCGGGUGCCGUCAGCCAAACAAUGCUGACUGGCGGCCCCUGGGGGAGAGCUUUCUCUGUGGGAGCACCUGCCCUCUGGAACGAGCUCCCCCCGGACUAUUCUGGACUUACGUACUUUCCGUCGGGCCCUCAAAACCUUUUUAUUUCAUCAAGUCGGGCUGGCCUAAUCUCUCCAAUUGUGUAUUUUAAUUUGGAUUUUUAAUGGGGGAUUUUAACUGUCGGGCCAAAAUGUUUAAUUUAUUUUUAAAUUGUUUUUAAAUUUUGUAUUUGAUGUUUUUUACUUCUGGCUGUUCACCGCCCUGAGUCCUUUGGGAGAAGGGCAGUAUAUAAAUUUAAAUAUUAAAUUAAAUUAAAUUAAAUUAAAUUAAAGGGGUGCUUGAGAAGAGCAAUGGCAAACAGGAAUGAUUUCAUGCGUUUUCUGUCCCCUUGUCCCAGGAUAGUCUCCAAGAGAGAUGCAGAUUGGGUUCAUAUGCAGCACAUGGGUAGAAUUCUUGAGUUGGCCACGUUGAUUAGUUCAUAAUGCUAGGCACCAAAGGCUAUUGUAUAACCCACAUUUGUUGGAUUCAUAAAUCAUGCUAAACUAACACCAAUCAAUCACAUGAUGGUUUAAUGCGAUGGUUCAUCUUUGGAAUGGAUAAUUAUUGAUUCGUUUAUGAAAUCUAUCAACCCCCUCAUGCCAGAGAUUCAAGGCAAUGUUUCAAAUCAAACACAGUGUUAAAUACAAUAAAAACAUACUUUUAAGCACAAACAGAAAAUAAUGACCCAGAUUUUCUUCUAGCCGCUUAAUCACCAAAGGCCUUCCAGAAAAUCCACCCUCAUAAAUCUAAAAGGCUAUAAGAGGGGGAUAUUUUUCCUCAGGUUAGCUGACUCGAAGGAAGAGAGUAAGGCACUGAGAACACAGGCCUCUGUCUCCCUUCAUACCUCUUGAGAGGAGGGGGCCUUCAGUAGGUAUUCCCAUUCACCCAGCACAUGUGGGCAGAAUGGAUUGAUUCACUUUGCUCCCUGUAUGUGUAAAAAGUGAACAAGGUAUACUUUAUCUAAAGGGUUAGAAAAGGCAUUGUGGACACAAUACUGUUAUCUGCUUGUUUCUUGAAAAACACCAGUGAGUGGUGUGUGAAGGAUGUGUGUGAGUGAUGUGUAGAGGAUGCAGGGUCUGUAAAAAGAAUAAGGUGACAGCAGGUGCCAUGUGGGAAACCAUUCAAAAUUACGGGGAAAACUUUCAAGAUUGGAUUUGGCACAGGCUUUUUGAGAGCUGGCAUUGGGAAUGUAAGGGAUAGUUGUCUUCGCAUCUGUGCUUGGCUGAUAUUGUGGCCAGGUGUUUGGAUACACAAGGAUGAGGGGCCUGCAAUAAUGCAUAUGGAGUUGAGGGGUGCCACUGAGGCUGUGUCCACUUUGCGCACGAGAGAACACUAAAUUAAACCCAGGAGGUCAAGACACAAUGUUGCAUGAUGUCCACAUCUACCCCCUUUCCUGUGAUUGUAAUCUCUACCCGUAUCCCAUUUUACAAAAAAAUCGAUAUUAGGGCAAUUAAAGUUGCAAAUAUAAACAGCAGUGCAAACUACCCAUUUUGCUGGCAAGUAAUUCCUCAUGAUUGUACAAUAAAACGAUUUGGGCAAGCAUCAGGGGUGCUUUGCAACAAGACAUCUAAAUUGUUCUUCUUUGAUUACUUAUUCCUGGAGAGAUGUUCCCUCUGAAUUUCCUUUCAAAUUGGAGACAGUUGGUGUUUUCACAUCUUUUGAGUAAGAAAGGUAGACGUUAGUAGUAUUGUUUAGGACAUUACUUUGACUCAGGCUGUUUGGUGGCAGUUUGAUUUUAAGCAGUGGAUCAGAUGGCUCUGUGGUGCUCUUAGAUUCUGCUCUUUUGGUUAGUGCUUGAUAAGAACAGUAACAUUAAAUUAAAUAUCUAAGGCAACCUGUGGCUCUUCCCAUCCCUAGCUGGUGUAGGAGCACAGUCAUCACCCUUUAAGGCCAUGCUUAAUGAUACCUUCAGACUUUCUACCAAGCAAUAAUAUUUUUUGUAGACUUUUAUGAAAAAUUAAUGCUGUUGAAAUAAAAGACUAAACAGCAUGAGUGAAUGAAUAGGGAGAUCCAACAAGAGUUUGAAAUCUUUUGUUCAUAAAACUGAGAACACAGGAAAGUCCUCCCAUCAUCUACGUUGGAUAUACCAUGCUUUUCUUCUUCCCAGAGGAGGGCACAUAUAGGUGGAUUGUCUUUCAGGAAGAGAAGGUGAAAGUAGUAGAAUCAAAAGGGCUCAAGGAGAAUGUUUCUACAGUGUAAAACAUCAGGGAAGGUAAGUUGUUCCUGAACAGGAUAACUGAAGCCUCUCAGGAGGGACAGAGAAGUGAAGUCCAGAUAACACAAAGAGAAAGAUAAGUGGAAGCAAGUGGAUGAGACGCUGCUUAUGGAACUCAAACUCUCUUUCUAGAAGAUAAUAUUAAGCCAUCUGAGCAAAGCCUUAUGAACACCAGCUUCAUGGAAUGGACUAGAAGAUACCAAAGCAUCCUUGAAUGAAAAGGAGCACAAGAACCCUUUUGAGGAAGCAGAAGCUGGUUGUGGUGGAGGAAUAGUUCUUUCAGUGUAUAGAUUCAAUAUGACAUCAAGGGAAGUGGGUUAUCUUCCAGGAACUCAUAUGCAGGAUAGACUGUCAAGACUCUUCAAACCUUCCAAUAACCAUUCCUUCGUCCUGAUUCAGGUGGGACAAAUGAUACUGGAAGAAACUAUGAGGACUUGGGAAGAAAGGUGAAAGAACUUGGCGCAGUGGCUAAAACACUGAGCUUGUUGAUCAGAAAGGUUGGCAGUUCGGCAGUUCAAAUCCCUAGGUUCAAAUUGGAAGGUCUCCUGCGUGAGCAGGGGGUUGGACUAGAUGACCGCCUUCCAACUCUGUUACUGUUAAAAAAAACUUGAAUACUUUCAUCAGUCCUUCUUGCUGAGGGCCAUGUUGCAAGAAAAGAGAACAGGAUCCUGAAAGCGAAGAAAAGUGUACAUAGAAGAUGCCACUGGCAAAGAAAAAGUUAAAGUACUGAGGCUUCCAAGAAACGCCCAAAGGAAGGGGGGGGGGAGAGGCUUUUUCAGGGAUUCCAGAAACAAAGGGAAAGCAAGAGAAUGUAGGUCUCUUGCAAAAAGAAAGGGUGAAUUGGUCAACGGGUGAUAAGGAAAAGGCAGAAUGUGUUGACUCAUAAUUUAUGUUUCUCUUCUCUCAGAAAGGAAAGUAAAAUCCUUAGCUGGCCCUCACUGUACCACCAUUAGAAGAGGGAACUGGAGUUCAAGAUAGAUCAGGUGUAAAAACUGAUCAAGCUGCAGUCGCUUAUAUUGAUCUGAAAACACUGAGAGCUCACAAAGAACAUCUUCAUCCAUCAAUGCACACCUACUUUCCAUUCAGAUGAGCUAUAGAAGAAUGGAACCGUUAGAAGAAGCAACAUCAUCCAGUUGAUGCCCUCUCUCCCUCUUGUAGAAUAACAACAAUACAUCUGCACUCAAAAGAAAUAAAACAAAUGUCUAACUAA